AAGCUAUGCAGAGGAUGCUGUGACUUGGGGAUCACAGAGGGGCACAGAAACUGGUAGUGACUAGAGUGAAUACAGCCUUAAGGUAGACACUAUUGAUCACACCCAGCAGGAAAUGUGGGGCAGGAUUCAGCAUUCCUACAUCAAAAACAUGGAAAUCGUGAUCUGCAAAGUGCAGCUCUGCUGGCAGUUUCCAUGUCACCGGAUGAUAUUGGAUUAUGUUGGAUGUGGAUAAUGCUGGUUGACACAACCAGCUGCCGGUCACUGCUGCUAGUGCUGCUGACUUCCAAGGCUGACUUGCCAGAUACUAUGACUCCGACUGCUGUACCUCCCCUUAGAAGAAAAAAAUUCCAAAUCCAGACCAAACCAACAGAUCAACCCACAGAAAGAACAAAGAAAGGAAGAACAAAGACCAAUAUAAACUAUAAAGAUUGA
rnacentral:lncRNA from 1 species